rnacentral:rRNA from 1 species
GACAGAGGGUGCAAACGUUGCUCGGAAUUACUGGGCGUAAAGCGCGUGUAGAUGGAUUGGUGUGUCAGAUGUGAAAGCCCUGGGCUCAACCCAGGAACUGCACCUGAAACUACCAGUCUUGAGUGGUGGAGAGGGAAGUGGAAUUCCUGGUGUAGAGGUGAAAUUCGUAGAUAUCAGGAGGAACACCAGUGGCGAAGGCGGCUUCCUGGACACUAACUGACGCUGAGACGCGAAAGCGUGGGGAGCAAACAGG